rnacentral:rRNA from 1 species
GACCUCGAAUCAGGUAGGACUACCCGCUGAACUUAAGCAUAUCAA